AGGCCAAACCGUAUGUGUGUGAUACCCGGCAGGGGUUGCAUGUACGGGGUUGUGGGAUUGCGCUUCAGUCGUCUGCCGGCGGCUGGGUGAGUCAGAAACCAUCAUGAUAGGCGAAGGACAUGCGAAAGGUCCGGCGUAGAGGGUAAGACCCCCGUAGCUGAAAUCGUGGUGGCUCACUUGCGUUAUUCCCAAGUAGCACGGGGCCCGAGAAAUCCUGUGUGAAUCUGGCGGGACCACCCGCU
rnacentral:rRNA from 1 species